rnacentral:rRNA from 1 species
ACCGAGAAAUCGGUGCUAAUACCGCAUGUGGCUCCAGCAAUGCGUUGCUGGAAUUAAAGCCUUCGGGCGCUUGAGGAGGGGCUUGUGUCCUAUCAGGUUGUUGGUAGGGUAACGGCCUACCAAGCCUUAGACGGGUAGCUGGUCUGAGAGGAUGGUCAGCCAGACAGGGAAUGAGAGACGGCCCUGACUCCUACGGGAGGCAGCAGCAAGGGAUAUUGCGCAAUGGGCGAAAGCCUGACGCAGGACGCCGCGUGGGGGAAGAAGGCUUUCGGGUUGUAAACCCCUUUUCUUGGUGAAGAGUAAGGACGGUAGCCAAGGAAUAAGUCUCGGCUAACUACGUGCCAGCAGCCGCGGUAAUACGUAGGAGGCAAGCGUUAUCCGGAAUCACUGGGAGUAAAGGGCGUGUAGGCGGCCCGUUAAGUUGGCUGUGAAAUCUCCCGGCUCAACCGGGAGCCGUCAGCCAAUACUGACGGGCUAGAGGGCAGCAGAGGAAAGUGGAAUUCCCGGUGUAGCGGUGGAAUGCGUAGAUAUCGGGAGGAACACCAGUGGCGAAGGCGGCUUUCUGGGCUGCCCCUGACGCUGAGGCGCGAAGGCGCGGGGAGCGAACGGGAUUAGAUACCCCGGUAGUCCUAGCUGUAAACGAUGUGGACUUGGCGUUGGUGGGGUUAAAUCCAUCAGUGCCGGAGCUAACGCGAUAAGUCCACCGCCUGGGGACUACGGUCGCAAGAUUAAAACUCAAAGGAAUUGGCGGGGGCCCGCACAAGCAGCGGAGCGUGUGGUUUAAUUCGAUGCUACACGAA